GCAGGGAAGAUGAAGAAAGAGAGGUCCUAAGAGCUGUAGGAACAGGAACACCAAGGAAUGCGAAUGCUCUGAUUUCUCCUCUAGGCACUGGAGGUGGAUAUUUGGCCUGGCGCGUUCCUGAUGCCUCCUAUUCCUAUGGUUCUUAGGUGCUCCUUCCUCUUCCCUUUCGCA
rnacentral:pre_miRNA from 1 species